ACUUUCUUUUUUUCCUUAUCAAUAAAUCUGUUUACAUCGAAAAAUUUAAACCUUAUGUCACAGAAUGAUCCCAGCUUGCAACAUAUAAAAGAGGCAUCACAACAGACCUAGAGUGCAACACAGUAGAUUCCAAGUAAAUGAUCACACUAGUCAUUUUGUCUCUAACCUAUACCUAUUAUCAUGACAGAUUCAAGGUGAAGCUAAACACCAAGAGAACACAAAUUCUACUCAUGUAACUAGAAUGAAACUUCUACUAUGAUAUCCCAUCAGUCCCAAGUUAAUUACUAGAACACAAAUUCCACCAGCUACACCAGAAAUUAAUUAGAGAGACAAUGAACUAGAGCUAUAAAAUACCAUACAAUAAAGAAAUAAAACUGAAGUCAUAAAACGAAAUUGAAAACAUGUUUUGAAAUCUAGUUUUCCAAUUCUUUCUUCAACUCAAGCUUCACAUGAGUAGAACCAGAGGUUAUGUACCUGAUUACAGCAAACAGAACAGGUGAAAUGAGCUGAAAAGUGAGACAACAAGGAUAGAAGCAGCAAUAAAAUAGUAACAGCAGCAUAACAGCCUACAACCCAACAAUGGAACAGUAGAAAACCACAACAAAACUCCAAAGCAGAUUCUAAAAUAUCCAGAAUUCAAUCCAUUUUAAACCAGAAUGUGAAACUGUGAAUUUUCAGUGAUUUGAACUAAACUGUGAGGACCAGAAGAACCAAAAUCCAAGCAGAACUUUUAGUAGUUCUCCAGAAAAUUCAAGGAAUUCAAGGCUAUUUCAGAAUUUCUUGGAGAAUCGUAGCAGUUUAAGUUUUUGGGUAAUA
rnacentral:lncRNA from 1 species